UUCAAGUUUUGAUCCCACUGCUGGCUUUU
rnacentral:piRNA from 1 species